rnacentral:tRNA from 1 species
AGCGUUCCGAAGGGGCUGGGGAGCUUGAAACUUUUUUUGCAAAAAACCUCUUGCCAGCCCCACGCUGGAUGAGUA